rnacentral:rRNA from 1 species
UACGAAGGGGGCUAGCGUUGCUCGGAAUCACUGGGCGUAAAGAGCUCGUAGGCGGUGUGUCGCGUCGGCCGUGAAAACCUGCAGCUUAACUGUGGGCUUGCGGUCGAUACGGGCAUCACUGGAGUUCGGCAGGGGAGACUGGAAUUCCUGGUGUAGCGGUGAAAUGCGCAGAUAUCAGGAGGAACACCGGUGGCGAAGGCGGGUCUCUGGGCCGAUACUGACGCUGAGGAGCGAAAGCGUGGGGAGCGAACAGG